AUGGACACCAGUCAAGAGAGAGAAGGGAGAGAGACGGAUACCAGUGAAGAGAGAGAAGGGAGAGAGACGGACACCAGUCAAGAGAGAGAAGGGAGAGAGACGGACACCAGUCGGGAGAGAGAUGGACACCAGUCAAGAGAGAGAAGGGAGAGAGACGGACACCAGUCAAGAGAGAGAAGAGAGAGAGAUAAGGGAGAGAGACGGACACCAGUCAAGAGAGAGAAGGGAGAGAGACGGACACCAGUCAAGAGAGAGAAGGGAGAGAGACGGACACCAGUCAAGAGAGAGAAGGGAGAGAGACGGACACCAGUCGGGAGAGAGACGGACACCAGUCAAGAGAGAGAAGGGAGAGAGACUGACACCAGUCAAGAGAGAGAAGGGAGAGAGAGAAGGGAGAGAGACGGACACCAGUCAAGAGAGAGAAGGGAGAGAGACGGACACCAGUCAAGAGAGAGAAGGGAGAGAGACGGACACCAGUCAAGAGAGAGAAGGGAGAGAGACGGACACCAGUCAAGAGAGAGAAGGGAGAGAGACGGACACCAGUCGGGAGAGAGAAGGGAGAGAGACGGACACCAGUCAAGAGAGAGAAGGGAGAGAGACGGACACCAGUCGGGAGAGAGAUGGACUCCAGUCAAGAGAGAGAAGGGAGAGAGACGGACACCAGUCGGGAGAGAGAAGGGAGAGAGAGAAGGGAGAGAGACGGACACCAGUCGGGAGAGAGAAGUGAGAGAGACGGACACUAGUCAAGAGAGAGAAGGGAGAGAGACGGACACCAGUCAAGAGAGAGAAGGGAGAGAGACGGACACCAGUCAAGAGAGAGAAGGGAGAGAGACGGACACCAGUCGGGAGAGAGAUGGACUCCAGUCAAGAGAGAGAAGGGAGAGAGACGGACACCAGUCGGGAGAGAGAAGGGAGAGAGAGAAGGGAGAGAGACGGACACCAGUCGGGAGAGAGAAGGGAGAGAGACGGACACCAGUCGGGAGAGAGAAGGGAGACAGAGCAAAACCUAAGUUAUUUCUUUGA
rnacentral:lncRNA from 1 species